rnacentral:rRNA from 1 species
AAUCCAUAGGUUAAUGAGGCGAACCGGGGGAACUGAAACAUCUAAGUACCCCGAGGAAAAGAAAUCAACCGAGAUUCCCCCAGUAGCGGCGAGCGAACGGGGAGGAGCCCAGAGCCUGAAUCAGCAUGUGUGUUAGUGGAAGCGUCUGGAAAGGCGCGCGAUACAGGGUGACAGCCCCGUACACAAAAGCGCAUGUGCUGUGAGCUCGAUGAGUAGGGCGGGACACGUGGUAUCCUGUCUGAAUAUGGGGGGACCAUCCUCCAAGGCUAAAUACUCCUGACUGACCGAUAGUGAACCAGUACCGUGAGGGAAAGGCGAAAAGAACCCCGGCGAGGGGAGUGAAAAAGAACCUGAAACCGUGUACGUACAAGCAGUGGGAGCACAGGUUUACCUGUGUGACUGCGUACCUUUUGUAUAAUGGGUCAGCGACUUAUAUUCUGUAGCAAGGUUAACCGAAUAGGGGAGCCGUAGGGAAACCGAGUCUUAACCGGGCGUUAAGUUGCAGGGUAUAGACCCGAAACCCGGUGAUCUAGCCAUGGGCAGGUUGAAGGUUGGGUAACACUAACUGGAGGACCGAACCGACUAAUGUUGAAAAAUUAGCGGAUGACCUGUGGCUGGGGGUGAAAGGCCAAUCAAACCGGGAGAUAGCUGGUUCUCCCCGAAAGCUAUUUAGGUAGCGCCUCGUGAACUCAUCUCCGGGGGUAGAGCACUGUUUCGGCUAGGGGGCCAUCCCGGCUUACCAACCCGAUGCAAACUGCGAAUACCGGAGAAUGUUAUCACGGGAGACACACGGCGGGUGCUAACGUCCGUCGUGAAGAGGGAAACAACCCAGACCGCCAGCUAAGGUCCCAAAGUCAUGGUUAAGUGGGAAACGAUGUGGGAAGGCCCAGACAGCCAGGAUGUUGGCUUAGAAGCAGCCAUCAUUUAAAGAAAGCGUAAUAGCUCACUGGUCGAGUCGGCCUGCGCGGAAGAUGUAACGGGGCUAAACCAUGCACCGAAGCUGCGGCAGCGAACGUAUCACUUAAAGCGAUUCAGCGGGUUACGAUUGACGGAGCGAAGCGACGUCAAAGCGUAUACAAAGUCGAGUCGGUUUAAGGAUACGUUCGUUGGGUAGGGGAGCGUUCUGUAAGCCUGCGAAGGUGGCCUGUGAGGGUUGCUGGAGGUAUCAGAAGUGCGAAUGCUGACAUAAGUAACGAUAAAGCGGGUGAAAAGCCCGCUCGCCGGAAGACCAAGGGUUCCUGUCCAACGUUAAUCGGGGCAGGGUGAGUCGACCCCUAAGGCGAGGCCGAAAGGCGUAGUCGA